rnacentral:rRNA from 1 species
CCCUUAGAUGUUCUGGGCUGCACGCGUGUUACAAUCGGGAGUACAACAAGAUUGCAAAUCCUAGUGGAUGAGUGGUACUUCGAAAUUUUCUGAAGACUGGGAUAGUUGAUUGAAGUUAUUCAACUCGAACGAGGAAUUCCUUGUAAUUGUAAUUCAUUAUAUUGUAAUGAAUACGUCCCUGCCCUUUGUACACACUGCCCGUCGCUCCUACCGAUUGAACGAUCCGGUGAAUUAUUUGGAGUAGCUCUGGAAGUUGCAGAACUUCCUAUGUCACGAAAUUUUGUAAACCUUAUCGUUUAGAGGAAGGAAAAGUCGUAACA